GGCUGCCUGGCGUAAUGGCAACGCGUCUGACUACGAUUGAGUAAUCAGGAGAUUGCAGGUUCGACCCCUGCGGUGGUCA
rfam:Dichomitus squalens LYAD-421 SS1 unplaced genomic scaffold DICSQscaffold_59, whole genome shotgun sequence.